GAUGAACGCUGGCGGCGUGCCUAAUACAUGCAAGUCGAGCGAACAGACGAGGAGCUUGCUCCUCUGACGUUAGCGGCGGACGGGUGAGUAACACGUGGAUAACCUACCUAUAAGACUGGGAUAACUUCGGGAAACCGGAGCUAAUACCGGAUAAUAUAUUGAACCGCAUGGUUCCAUAGUGAAAGACGGUUUUGCUGUCCCUUAUAGAUGGAUCCGCGCCGCAUUAGCUAGUUGGUAAGGUAACGGCUUACCAAGGCGACGAUGCGUAGCCGACCUGAGAGGGUGAUCGGCCACACUGGAACUGAGACACGGUCCAGACUCCUACGGGAGGCAGCAGUAGGGAAUCUUCCGCAAUGGGCGAAAGCCUGACGGAGCAACGCCGCGUGAGUGAUGAAGGUCUUCGGAUCGUAAAACUCUGUUAUUAGGGAAGAACAAAUGUGUAAGUAACUAUGCACGUCUUGACGGUACCUAAUCAGAAAGCCACGGCUAACUACGUG
rnacentral:rRNA from 1 species